CCGCUUCUGUUGUGUUUUAUAUUUCUCGUGCCCACGAUCUUUUCAUUCAGUCCCCUCCUUUUGCAUCGUACUUCCCUCCCACUUUUUUUUCUCCGUCUCAGUAUCGGCGCAUGCGUGCGUGCGUUCGUGGAUAUGUGGAUG